rnacentral:misc_RNA from 1 species
GAUGAAGAACGCAGCGAAAUGCGAUAAGUAAUGUGAAUUGCAGAAUUCAGUGAAUCAUCGAAUCUUUGAACGCACCUUGCGCUCCUUGAUAUUCCGAGGAGCAUGCCUGUUUGAGUGUCAUGAAAUUCUCAACCUUUUCAGCUUUCUUUGUUGAUCAGGCUUGGAUGUGGGAGUAUGCGGGCUUCUCAGAAGUCGGCUCUCCUGAAAUGCAUUAGCGGGACCUUUGUUGCCUGGCUUUGGUGUGAUAAUUAUCUACGCCAUUGUAGUCAAGCAGCUUAAAAUGAGGUUUCAGCUUCUAACCGUCUCCCCUGAGACAACUUUUUGACAAUUUGACCUCAAAUCAGGUAGGACUACCCGCUGAACUUAAGCAUAUCAAUAAGCGGAGGA